CUCGAUCAGUUCAGCUCGAGCCCACGUUGGCUCCUAGGCCGGUCCCUGCGUUGCGAACCGGCCGAAGCGGAAAUCAUCUGUGUUGCUGUGCGAUUCUCGCCUCACCCCUGCCAGGGGCGUGUGGUGAGCGUGGAGGCGCCUCCUUUGCUCCGAACGUGUCGACUCGACGGUUGCGGCGCAUCGGAAAGGUCGCCCGUGCUUUUCCGGGAUGCGGAAUACCAUCUUGUAGCCCGAGGGAUCCGAUCCCUCCGUUGCCCCGAAAUGUCCCUGACGCUCGAACGACGCGCGAGGCCCGCGCCCCCUCCCCGUCACGCCGCAACGGUCGGCCUGCCGGGGUUCGGGGCCGGCGCCGAGCUCGCGAAGGAAUGC
rnacentral:misc_RNA from 1 species